UUCUGUUGUUUGUAUUAGGUCGUGACAAUUCGUUACAUGGUCUCGCUGUGGCCCUCUUGUAUCGACAUGGGACAUCUGUGGGUUAAGGCACACAAAUGCACGGGUUAAGAGCGUUAAACUUGCACAUACACUUGGUGAGGUUCAUUGUUUCUCAAAACCAUAUAGUAGUAGUAGGAUUAGCCCACCCAAUAUAUAUGCAAGUUCGCAAUCCACUAUUCUAUUGAUGUAUAUUAAUUUUAGGUACUUGUGUGUAUGUAUAUAUAUUAACAAACUGAUUUGAUUUUGAUGUGAGUUAUUUCAAAUUGGGUUUAGUCAUACUCGAUUACGGUUAGAAUGAUUGGGUUCAAAUUUGGACAACUUCACCUCUAAGGUUUUUGGUCAACUACAUAUGGUUAUGGAUUUUAACCUCUUAUUUAGUGAGCUAAUAACCUGCUUAGUUAUUGUAUUGCCUUGUUGAGUAGGAUUAUGUACUUGAUUACAUAUAACUUAUUUAGUAAUUUUAUUGCUUUGUUGAGUAGGAUUGUGUAAUUAAAUAAUUAGCUGCUUUUUUUCCUUGUGCUUUUGUGGAAUAUAUUGUACUCCUUGGGGUAAUUGUUUAAUCUUGGUAUGAUUAUGACCUUGGAGCCUUGAGGUGUUAUUUUUUGGAAAUAAAGGUGUUAUAGGAAUAAAUCUCAGGGAAAUCCCUGACAUUAAUGGAAGCUUUAAAUUAAAGGUGCUAGGACUCAUAUUAGACGGCCCUGCUCAUUUCACCAUUUCUUGAUGGCUUUUUCAAAUUUUAAGGCUUCUCAAUGGCUUGUUGUUGAUAUUAAUUUUUCCGUAUCUUCGUAGGAUUUACAAGCCACAAUUCAAGAUAUUACUUUCAGUUUUAUAUAAUCACCACAAUAAAUUGUGGAUGUGAUGUUUUUUUUUUCAAUUUAGAGAAUGUAAUGUGGUUAUUGUUCUUGCUUUCUUCGAAUUUUGGUCAUCUUUCUCUUUCUCUUUCUCUUUAUUCAACACUUCUAAUUGUAGAUCUAAAUGGGUGUUCUUUAAUUUGUUCUAAGUCCCUAGCUUUAUAAUUAAGUUCUCCAUGCUUUGGAUUUCCUAGCAACAAUUGUUGAUGCGCUUGCAGAGUAAUUCGCAAGGGAUUCUAUCAGACCGAAGAUGUGAAGCAUAAAGGCCAGGUUUCUGUCCCAAAACUAAGCUGAUAUUGAUUUCGAGUGCUUGUAGAGUGUAGGUGCUGCCUUUGUUUGCUGAAAAUACAUAAUUCAGAUUCUUCUCGUUUGCAAAUUGGAUGAAUAUGGUUAGUAUAAAUUAUACUAUGUUAUUGUUAGUGAUAGAGUAUGUCCAAAUACAAGAGCUUAGACCAUCAACUUAACCAAAGCUUUUAGUUGAGGCUCCAUUAUAUGUUAUAUAUUACUCUAUAGUCUCAAGAUAUGUUACAUAAUUUAUCUGUUCUUGUUUUCUUCUACUUUCAUUAGAGUUCAUAAGUUGAAGGCAUAGUUUAAUACACGUGUCACGCCAGUGAUGCACCUUUAGAAGUCUUCCUCAAAUGUGACACAUGAGAACCUCAACAAAUCUCAAGCAUUUAUUGACGACAAAACUCAACUCGACGAACAGAUAACAUCACAACAGCAUCCUCGACACAAAACUGCCAACGAGUAGCUUUCAACAAGCCAAGCACCCCAUCAACAAUGAAUGUCUAGUGGUCAUCAGUUCCUUUGACAUAGAAGUGUAUGAAUAAUAAACUAGCAUUAUAUAAAAUAGAAGUGUAUAAAGUUUUAAGGACAUUUUCAUACCCUAAUUUGUUGUUGAUGUUGUCUGCUACUACCAAUACAUCUUUCCCUAAAAAUCCUUCACAAUUUUGGAUCAGAGUGGCAUUCUAACAUUUGCAUUCAUAUUAUUUUUAAUGAAAUUGUAUAAAAUAGCAUUUUUAAAUUCAAUAGUAUAACUAGUUAGUCUAGAAGAAUCUAUCAAUAUUCAUGGCAAGAAAUAUACUUACCUUCACUU